UUGUUUUAUUUUCCAGGCAAAACACUGUCAACAUUGGUGCAAGAGCUUACUUGAGUUUCUGCAGUACCAUUUCAAUUUUGUAAGACUGUUGAUUUCACUUAUUCUGCCUUGGCUUUUCCUCAAGUCAAGUCAAGUCAUGUCAAGUUCUUUAUUGUCAUUAUAGUAGUACAACAAUAUUAUUUAAAGAUCUCAAGAUCUCACCAAGAUCAUAUUGUAACAAUCAUAUAUAUAGUACAAGUAUGUGUCUACUUGAUUUAGCAGAUACAGCCUGAGUUUGACCAGUCUUCACAGUCUGUACUCAGUAGACAUAAAGCAAGGUUACGUUUAGAAGUGGCAAAAUUUCGUAAGGUCAAAGUUGGUUUGAUUAUGAUUUCUCAGUGUCUACGUUUACAUGGACACCAGAAACUGGGUUAUCAUGAGAAAGCAUCUUUUUGUUUACAUGCACUGUAUAAGCGGCGUACACUUUACUCCCAUUUACAUGUGGCUCGAUCAGUAAGAAGCUUUUUCCACAGCAGUGUAGUUUCCUUGUGACACUUGUGUAAAUAACAAACAUGGUAUCUGAUGAAGACUUUGUUAUUUUAUUCUCUGUUGCUUCGCUUUAUUUCCAGAUAUUUCCAGAGUUGUUGCUGUGUUUGUUUCCUUAACGUUCAAAUGUGACCUGCAGCGGAAUUGUGCUGCAAUAGAGGGAUUUUCCUCAUAUGUCAUUUCUGGGAUUCCCCCAACAACGAGCGCAUUUAUGUGAAUAUGAGGGACAGUCGAUAUCUUACAUCGAAGAAAUAAAGGAGCAGUAAGUGAUGCAGUCAGGAAAUCAGAAACAAAAUCCAAUCUCAAGUGGUCAAAGGAGACACAUUCCAGGUGAAAUGAAUGCCAGGUGUAAACAGCAGCCUGUCUCACCUGCACCUGCACCACUCAGAACGGAUGUUCAUUAGCAGGUGUAAACAUAGUCAAAGCACAGUCAGGGCUGAAACAAUCCUCAUUAUGAGCAUUCCUCAUUAUGAGCAUUACCCAACAUUAUUGUGGGAAGGAGCGAUACAUGCAUGAACAAGAAAGGAGCGAUACAUGCAUGAACAUCCAUGAGUUUGACAUAGCUGUUGAAUUCAGUGAUUAUUUGGACUGUACUAGUGAGUAUGUGUGUUGUUUGCUUUAAAAAAAAAAAAACUAUAAAUGUGCUCUAUAAUAAGAACAUAAACCUAUUACAUCCGGUGUCCAAUUACAUGCCUACUUCUCUACUACAAAGCAGUAUGUAAAAUGAAUAGGGUGUCUGAAUCCACAGUAUUCAUUAAACAGCAUGCAAGAAAUAUCCAAAUUACUACAUCCUGCAAGAUUCUGAAGUGCAAAUCCACUGAACACCUUACUAUUCCAAAAGACCAUGUUAUCUAAGGUGACAUCAUAUUCAAA